GGGACACGUGGUAUCCUGUCUGAAUAUGGGGGGACCAUCCUCCAAGGCUAAAUACUCCUGACUGACCGAUAGUGAACCAGUACCGUGAGGGAAAGGCGAAAAGAACCCCGGCGAGGGGAGUGAAAAAGAACCUGAAACCGUGUACGUACAAGCAGUGGGAGCCUCUUAAUGGGGUGACUGCGUACCUUUUGUAUAAUGGGUCAGCGACUUAUAUUCUGUAGCAAGGUUAACCGAAUAGGGGAGCCGAAGGGAAACCGAGUCUUAACUGGGCGUUAAGUUGCAGGGUAUAGACCCGAAACCCGGUGAUCUAGCCAUGGGCAGGUUGAAGGUUGGGUAACACUAACUGGAGGACCGAACCGACUAAUGUUGAAAAAUUAGCGGAUGACUUGUGGCUGGGGGUGAAAGGCCAAUCAAACCGGGAGAUAGCUGGUUCUCCCCGAAAGCUAUUUAGGUAGCGCCUCGUGAAUUCAUCUCCGGGGGUAGAGCACUGUUUCGGCAAGGGGGUCAUCCCGACUUACCAACCCGAUGCAAACUGCGAAUACCGGAGAAUGUUAUCACGGGAGACACACGGCGGGUGCUAACGUCCGUCGUGAAGAGGGAAACAACCCAGACCGCCAGCUAAGGUCCCAAAGUCAUGGUUAAGUGGGAAACGAUGUGGGAAGGCCCAGACAGCCAGGAUGUUGGCUUAGAAGCAGCCAUCAUUUAAAGAAAGCGUAAUAGCUCACUGGUCGAGUCGGCCUGCGCGGAAGAUGUAACGGGGCUAAACCAUGCACCGAAGCUGCGGCAGCGACACUAUGUGUUGUUGGGUAGGGGAGCGUUCUGUAAGCCUGUGAAGGUGUGCUGUGAGGCAUGCUGG
rnacentral:rRNA from 1 species